rnacentral:tRNA from 1 species
GCGAGCGUGGCGGAAUUGGCAGACGCGCAAGGUUUAGGUCCUUGUGUCCAAUUUGGACGUGGAGGUUCGACUCCUCUCGCUCGCA